CCCCCUUCCGGGAGGCUGGCACAGCUCCUGCCUUGCAGCGGGCCCUGGCUCAGGCCGAUGGUGAGAGUCAGCCAGCGCGGCUCUUCCCUAGCCUGUCCUGCACCGCUCCUGGCUGCCUGUGGGCUCGGAGCUGGCCGACUUGGCCCAGUCCCGCCUCCCCGGACCCCCGGAGCAGGAAGGCUCGGCCAGACCAGUGGGCGCGGUGGCAGGCGAGGCUCGUUUAUUGACAGGUCGCACCCCGUGCCAGCCCGCAACCCUCGCCCGGUGCGGACGGUCACGUGCGGGAGUUCCGCUCCUCGUCUUCGUUCUCUAGCAGCGAGGUGUACCUGGAGCCGCGGCGUGGAAGGCAAGAGCCAGCCCCCUUCCAGUGUGCUGUAAAGCUCCAGCGCCCGGAAGAACCAGGUGUCUAAGCCAGUGUCAGACGGAACUUUCUGUCGUGAUGAGAAUGUUCUCUCCGUGUGCCAUCUAAUACGACAGCCGCUUGGAAUGUGGCCGGUACAACCAAAGAAGAGAUUUUUCUUCCUAUUUCUCCCUCCCUCCCUCCCUUCUCUCCUUCCUUCCACCACCCCCCUGCCACUAGGCAGGGUCUCACUCUAGCUG